rnacentral:rRNA from 1 species
CCUUCUUUUUCUCUCUUUCUCCUUCUUUCCUUUUUUUCCUUCUCUUUCCUUCUUUUGCGUAAGGGACGUGUGAAAGCACCCGGCUUAACCGGGGGAGGCCGCGUCCGACUGCGCGACUGGAGGUGGGUAGAGGCGUGUGGAAUUCCGGGUGUAGUGGUGAAAUGCGUAGAGAUCCGGAGGAACACCAGUGGCGUAGGCGACACGCUGGACCUGACCUGACGCUCAGACGCGAAAGCAUGGGGAGCGAACGG